rnacentral:rRNA from 1 species
CGCACAGUAAACGAUGUGCACUAGGCGGCGGGGGCAACCUCGCUGCCGCAGCCAACGCAUUAAGUGCACCGCCUGGGGAGUAUGCCCGCAAGGGUGAAACUCAAAGGAAUUGACGGGGGCCCGCACAAGCGGUGGAGCAUGUGGUUUAAUUCGAUGAUACGCGAGAAACCUUACCAGGGCUUGACAUGGCCCGGAAGUGCGCUGCAAGGCGCACGCCCCUCGGGGCCGGGUCACAGGUGC